rnacentral:lncRNA from 1 species
UUUGGGGUUUUAGGGUAGUUUUAGACCCCUUGGUGCAUAUCUAUAUGUAUAUGCUAGUUGGGAGUAGUUGAGAUGCAUGUUUGUAAGUUUUUGGGCAAAGUUUGCAUGAAACAGAGCAGGGUUCUGCCCUUCGGGCAAAACCAGGUUCGGCCGCCGAAGGAAGGUUCGGCCGCCGAACCCCUUGUGGAGGCAGUUCGGCUGCCAAAGGUUGCCCCCGAAAGCUAGGCUUUCUGUU